rnacentral:rRNA from 2 species
UAUCCUGUCUGAAUAUGGGGGGACCAUCCUCCAAGGCUAAAUACUCCUGACUGACCGAUAGUGAACCAGUACCGUGAGGGAAAGGCGAAAAGAACCCCGGCGAGGGGAGUGAAAAAGAACCUGAAACCGUGUACGUACAAGCAGUGGGAGCACAGGUUUACCUGUGUGACUGCGUACCUUUUGUAUAAUGGGUCAGCGACUUAUAUUCUGUAGCAAGGUUAACCGUAUAGGGGAGCCGGAGGGAAACCGAGUCUUAAUUGGGCGUUAAGUUGCAGGGUAUAGACCCGAAACCCGGUGAUCUAGCCAUGGGCAGGUUGAAGGUUGGGUAACACUAACUGGAGGACCGAACCGACUAAUGUUGAAAAAUUAGCGGAUGACCUGUGGCUGGGGGUGAAAGGCCAAUCAAACCGGGAGAUAGCUGGUUCUCCCCGAAAGCUAUUUAGGUAGCGCCUCGUGAAUUCAUCUCCGGGGGUAGAGCACUGUUUCGGCUAGGGGGCCAUCCCGGCUUACCAACCCGAUGCAAACUGCGAAUACCGGAGAAUGUUAUCACGGGAGACACACGGCGGGUGCUAACGUCCGUCGUGAAGAGGGAAACAACCCAGACCGCCAGCUAAGGUCCCAAAGUCAUGGUUAAGUGGGAAACGAUGUGGGAAGGCCCAGACAGCCAGGAUGUUGGCUUAGAAGCAGCCAUCAUUUAAAGAAAGCGUAAUAGCUCACUGGUCGAGUCGGCCUGCGCGGAAGAUGUAACGGGGCUAAACCAUGCACCGAAGCUGCGGCAGCGACGCUUAUGCGUUGUUGGGUAGGGGAGCG